GAAACUGCCUGAUUGAGGGGGAUAACUACUGGAAACGGUAGCUAAUACCGCAUAACGUCGCAAGACCAAAGAGGGGGACCUUCGGGCCUCUUGCCAUCGGAUGUGCCCAGAUGGGAUUAGCUAGUAGGUGGGGUAAUGGCUCACCUAGGCGACGAUCCCUAGCUGGUCUGAGAGGAUGACCAGCCACACUGGAACUGAGACACGGUCCAGACUCCUACGGGAGGCAGCAGUAGGGAAUCUUCCGCAAUGGACGAAAGUCUGACGGAGCAACGCCGCGUGAGUGAAGAAGGUCUUCGGAUCGUAAAGCUCUGUUGUUAGGGAAGAACAAGUAUCGGAGGAAAUGCCGGUACCUUGACGGUACCUGACGAGAAAGCCACGGCUAACUACGUGCCAGCAGCCGCGGUAAUACGUAGGUGGCAAGCGUUGUCCGGAAUUAUUGGGCGUAAAGCGCGCGCAGGCGGUCCUUUAAGUCUGAUGUGAAAUCUUGCGGCUCAACCGCAAGCGGUCAUUGGAAACUGGGGGACUUGAGUGCAGAAGAGGAAAGCGGAAUUCCACGUGUAGCGGUGAAAUGCGUAGAG
rnacentral:rRNA from 1 species